rnacentral:rRNA from 1 species
UACAGAGGAUGCAAGCGUUAUCCGGAAUGAUUGGGCGUAAAGCGUCUGUAGGUGGCUUUUUAAGUCUGCCGUCAAAUCCCAGGGCUUAACCCUGGACAGGCGGUGGAAACUACCAAGCUGGAGUACGGUAGAGGCGAGUGGAAUUCCCGGUGUAGCGGUGAAAUGCGCAGAUAUCGGGAGGAACACCAGUAGCGAAGGCAGCUCGCUGGGCCACACCUGACGCUGAGACGCGAAAGCUAGGGGAGCGAACAGG